rnacentral:rRNA from 1 species
AACAAACGCUGGCGGCGUGCCUAACACAUGCAAGUCGAACGAGAAAGUCGGUUUCGGCCGAUGAGUAAAGUGGCGCACGGGUGAGUAACGCGUGGAUAAUCUACCCUUUAGUCCGGAAUAACUUGCCGAAAGGUGAACUAAUACCGGAUGACAUCCCGGGUUCUCCGGAAACCGGGAUCAAAGAAGGCCUCUGCUUGCAAGCUUUUGCUGAAGGAUGAGUCCGCGUACCAUUAGCUAGUUGGUGGGGUAAUGGCCUACCAAGGUUAUGAUGGUUAGCUGGUCUGAGAGGAUGAUCAGCCACACUGGAACUGAAACACGGUCCAGACUCCUACGGGAGGCAGCAGUGAGGAAUAUUGCGCAAUGGGGGCAACCCUGACGCAGCAACGCCGCGUGAGUGAGGAAGGUUUUCGGAUUGUAAAGCUCUGUCGAGCGGAAAGAAAUGCACGAUGGCUAAUAUCCAUCAUGCUUGACGGUACCGCUAGAGGAAGCACCGGCUAACCG